UACGGGAGGCAGCAGUGGGGAAUAUUGCACAAUGGGCGCAAGCCUGAUGCAGCCAUACCGCGUGUAUGAAGAAGGCCUUCGGGUUGUAAAGUACUUUCAGUCGUGAGGAAGGUGUUAAGGUUAAUAACCUUAGCAAUUGACGUUAGCGACAGAAGAAGCACCGGCUAACUCCGUGCCAGCAGCCGCGGUAAUACGGAGGGUGCGAGCGUUAAUCGGAAUUACUGGGCGUAAAGGGCACGCAGGCGGUUAAUUAAGUUGGAUGUGAAAUCCCCGGGCUUAACCUGGGAAUGGCAUUCAAGACUGGUUAGCUAGAGUCUUGUAGAGGGGGUAGAAUUCCAUGUGUAGCGGUGAAAUGCGUAGAGAUGUGGAGGAAUACCGGUGGCGAAGGCGGCCCCUGGACAAAGACUGACGCUCAUGUGCGAAAGCGUGGGGAGCGAAACAGGGAUUAGAUACC
rnacentral:rRNA from 1 species